UCACCAAUACCUAUCAAUUUACAAAAACUUGCAUGUACUCUGAAAGUAUUAAACCAAGACCAAACAAAAAUAACACUAAUAAUUUCCAUAAUAAAGGUAACUAAAUAAGAGGAAACAUUUGUAGGAGUGACCGAAGCACCCGAUAGGUUUAUAAAAUGAUAGAUGCAUGUCCAACGAUUCAAAGUGUGCUCCAUUACACAAGAUAUCCUUUACAAAAUGAUAGCUACAAGAUGCAUUGUUUUUGCUCCAUCACAGAAGAUAUAUCUAGGUUGACGCAAACUGACAGCAUCAUGGUUCCUUCCUGGUCCUCUGUCUUUCCUACACAACCCGACAGCAACCUGGAAAGACAAAAAAAGCAUACAAUUAAUAUACAUGCAAGCUGGUGAAAUUUCCUUUCCACUAAGUACUACAGUACUAUCUGUUCAACUUAACAGUAAAGAGCAUCAUGCAUGAAACAUAGAAACUGAAUAUACAGCCAGCUAACUUUGAGGUGAAUAAAUUCGAUUUGCAGGCCUGUAAACUUGGGGUCCUUACGGAAGUGUCACACUAAGAAUAACCAAAGUCGACCAGGAGACGCGACCCAAAGUUUUGAGAAAUAAUUGGAUGAUUCAACCAUUUCAUGAUUAUCUUCACGUGAUUUAUAUCACAGGGCGAAAAAAAUGUUGUGCACUGAACGGUUUAUGUUAUGCCGUGAAACUGAAAAUAAUUCAUGUCGAGGUGCAGACCAAAUAGCAUAAACAAAUGUUGUAGCUGUAGCUGUGUUGACUGCUACACUCAUCUAGUUAUAACUACAGGAAGCUAAGUACUAGCUGCCUUUCGACAAUGAUGACGAAAGAAAAGAUGUAUUCUCGCGUUUUCUUAUCCACAAUGACAUAAACAAAUGUUGUCUUUCCACCAUAAGAGAUCUGUAAGAUAGAAAGAAUAUGAGACAUAAAAGACAUAAUUGACACUACGUAAUUUUAUUUCUUGAACACAAGAAAGAGUCAUGUGGUCAUGUAACUUCUUUUUCUAGAGAACUGGUACCAUAUAGCUAACUAUUAGAGAUACACUUUACUGGUGUUUUCUAUCCAUGUGAGAAGUACAGUAUUUCAGCUAUCUUUGUUUAGUCUUCAGUUGUGGCCAUAAAUUGAAUGGUACUGAAUGCCAUGUUGCUAUCUCCCUGGUGGCAGCAAUAGAUACAUGGACACCGAAAACAGAAUGCUGUCUUCCUGGUGACAGCAAUAGAUACAUUGGGGAUACCACAGUUUGUAAAACCAUGGUAUGUACUUGGACAAACACCUCAAAGUAUUUUCAAAACUACAGUUUUUUUCUAGAUAAGACCACUAGUUUUCUUUCUUACUUUUCUCUGGGAUGGAAAAGACUAGUGCGCCUGACUAUUUAUAUUCAGAAAUGCAUCAGAGAAAAACAUAUGUACUUCAGUGCCACAAAUUAGAUUAAAUUAAACCUCGCAAAAAAAUAAAUUAAAUUAAGCCAUUACUUUCAGAGAAGAAUAUGUACUGUACAUACAAAUCUUCAUAGGUAUAAGAGCCAGAACCUAUGAAACCAUCAGGUUACGCAUAAGAGAAAUAAAGAUUAUAAAUACUAGGUUAGCCUAGAAACAAGAUUCAGAAAUAGCAACUUUAAAAGCAACAGCAGUGUAUUAUGCUCUGUUCUGUACUAUGGAUGUGCCAUAAUGCUGAUAAAUGUGUGUGUGUGUGCCGAGUAAGACUUGUAGUUACAAAAGGUAAUUUAACUAUGAAAUUAGCCAAAAAUAAGACGAUGAGUAUUCUCUAUUCAGCAAAACCGAAGGACCAGAUUCAUGACCAGACUGAAGGACCAGAUACAUGAACAAACAGUACAACAUGAGGUUAUUCAUGAACAAACUGAAGGACUAGAUUCAUGAACAAACAGUACUAGAGGAGGUUAUCUAAGACAAACUGAAACUAUGUAUUGUACAUUAUCUCAGACAAACUUUAGAUGAAGAGAAGUGGCAGUGAGCUAGGCAGACAUGAUAAUAAGAGAAGAUGGACCAGCCCUGGUUUGUAGCUCAAAAAAAUACUAGCUCAUUUCGGUCCCUGGUUUGUAGCUCAAAAAUGAAUACUGGCUCAGUAUUCAGAAACUGAGAAGAUUUCUCCUAUACAAAACACAAAUAAAUACUAGCUCAAAAAUAGUGAUUGGAAAAAUAUCUUGGUGGCGGGACGAG
rnacentral:lncRNA from 1 species